AAGAGUGAACUAGCUAACUGAAAUCACAAGCGACAAAUGUUAAUUGUGAUAAGGUAAGGGAAAAAACUGAUGUUACCUUACUAACAGUGUUGUCCAAAACUGGUGCCAGAAGACUCGGUAAGACCAGAAACGCAAACGUUAAUCGUCCUAAUCAGGCGUAAAGGGUUUGUAGGCUGCUUUUACUAUUUCUAAUUAAAAUAGCUCUGAUCAAAUCAGUUAAAUAGAAAUACAAUAAAAGCUAGAAUCAAAUUGAGGAUAAGCCAAAUAAUACUUAGAGUAGGGAUGAUAUCCAUAAAUACUAAGGGGAAUACUAAAGGUGAAAGCUUUUAUCUACUAAUGAUUGACGCUGAGAAACGAAGGUGAGAAUAGGAAAUAGGAUUAGAUACCCAGAUACCUCUCACAGUCAACGAUGAAUGGUGGUUUGUUAGUUUUAAUAAAAACUGAUAACGAUGUUAACGCGAUAACCAUUCCGCCUUGCGAGUACGGUUGCAAAACUGAAACCAAAAAAAUUAGUCGGUCUCGAAGCAAACGAAGUGGAGCAUGUUAUUUAAUU
rnacentral:rRNA from 1 species